rnacentral:rRNA from 1 species
CAUGCAAGUCGAGCGGUAACACAGGGAGCUUGCUCCUGGGUGACGAGCGGCGGACGGGUGAGUAAUGUCUGGGAAACUGCCUGAUGGAGGGGGAUAACUACUGGAAACGGUAGCUAAUACCGCAUAAUGUCGCAAGACCAAAGAGGGGGACCUUCGGGCCUCUUGCCAUCAGAUGUGCCCAGAUGGGAUUAGCUAGUAGGUGGGGUAACGGCUCACCUAGGCGACGAUCCCUAGCUGGUCUGAGAGGAUGACCAGCCACACUGGAACUGAGACACGGUCCAGACUCCUACGGGAGGCAGCAGUGGGGAAUAUUGCACAAUGGGCGCAAGCCUGAUGCAGCCAUGCCGCGUGUAUGAAGAAGGCCUUCGGGUUGUAAAGUACUCUCAGCGGGGAGGAAGGCGGUGAGGUUAAUAACCUCAUCGAUUGACGUUACCCGCAGAAGAAGCACCGGCUAACUCCGUGCCAGCAGCCGCGGUAAUACGGAGGGUGCAAGCGUUAAUCGGAAUUACUGGGCGUAAAGCGCACGCAGGCGGUCUGUCAAGUCGGAUGUGAAAUCCCCGGGCUCAACCUGGGAACUGCAUUCGAAACUGGCAGGCUAAAGUCUUGUAGAGGGGGGUAGAAUUCCAGGUGUAGCGGUGAAAUGCGUAGAGAUCUGGAGGAAUACCGGUGGCGAAGGCGGCCCCCUGGACAAAGACUGACGCUCAGGUGCGAAAGCGUGCGGAGCAAACAGGAUUAGAUACCCUGGUAGUCCACGCCGUAAACGAUGUCGACUUGGAGGUUG